rnacentral:sRNA from 1 species
GGCCUGGAUCCGCCUUCCCCGCGCGGUCUUGGUCACGGCCCCGCGGGGCAGCCAUGCCUGGCCGUCUGCUGCGGGGCCUGUGGCAGCGAUGGCGCCGUUACAAGUACCGCUUCGUUCCCUGGAUCGCACUGAACCUAAGCCACAACCCGAGGACCCUCCGAUAUGUUCCAGAGGAAUCCAAAGACAAAGUUACCUCAGAUGAAGAUGUCCUAGGAACAUUACUGAAAGUUUUCCAGGCUCUAUUCUUAAAUGAUUUCAAUAAACAAUCAGAAAUCUUGACUAUGCUUCCAGAAUCUGUUAAAUCAAAAUAUCAAGACCUACUGGCAGUUGAACAUCAAGGGGUGAAACUGCUUGAAAACAGACAUCAACAGCAAAGUACCUUUAAACCAGAAGAAAUUCUUUACAAGACUUUGGGUUUCAGUGUUGCCCAAGCAACUAGCUCAUUGAUUUCUGCUGGAAAAGGGGUCUUCGUUACUAAAGGACUGGUACCAAAAGGCGCAGUCGUAUCUAUGUAUCCUGGUAACAGCACGAUUAAUAUUAUACUUUGCCAAGCUUCUUACGUAUUGAUAAA